GGGGAAUAUUGCACAAUGGAGGAAACUCUGAUGCAGCAACCCCGCGGGAUUAAAGAAGGUCUUCGGAUCGUAAAACUCUGUCCUUGGUGACGAAAAAAAAUAACGGUAGCCAAGGAGGAAGCCCCGGUCACCAAGUGCCAGCAGCCGCGGUAAUACGUAGGGGGCGAGCGUUGUCCGGAUUUACUGGGCGUAAAGGGUGAGUAGGCGGUAAUAUGUGUCAGAUGUAAAAGGCUAUGGCUUAACCAUAGUUGGCAUUUGAAACUGUAUUACUUGAGUGCAGGAGAGGUAAGUGGAAUUCCUAGUGUAGCGGUGAAAUGCGUAGAUAUUAGGAGGAACACCAGUGGCGAAGGCGACUUACUGGACUGUAACUGACGCUGAGUCACGAAAGCGUGGGUAGCAAACA
rnacentral:rRNA from 1 species